AAUAUGCGUGUCACUUAAUUAAAUUUAAAAGUCAUUAACGCCAUAUUUACGUAUUUGUUUACUGUGUUUCAUUUUGCGUAUACCUACUGUAUAAUUUGUUUUUUGAAGAAAAUAAUAUUGCGUUUCACAGCAUACGUUGAAACCGUCACUUGCAGAGAAAUGAUUAAAUGGCGGAUUCAACCUUUUAUCGUAAUAAAAUCCUAUUUUUCUGUAAUCAAUAGGUUCGGCGUUCGUCACGACAAAAAAAAAUUACUUUUUAAACUAACGACUUUGACGUGUGUCAUGAAAAAGGCAAAUCUUAAAUGAUUUGGCACAUUUUUACAUGCAUUUAAAAUAAUUUACAUAUAUAUAUUU